GGAAUAUUGCACAAUGGGGGAAACCCUGAUGCAGCGACGCCGCGUGAGUGAAGAAGUAUUUCGGUAUGUAAAGCUCUUUCGGCAGGGAAGAAGAUGACGGUACCUGCAGAAGAAGCCCCGGCUAACUACGUGCCAGCAGCCGCGGUAAUACGUAGGGGGCAAGCGUUAUCCGGAUUUACUGGGUGUAAAGGGAGCGCAGACGGCGGUUCAAGUCUGAUGUGAAAUACGGGGGCUCAACUCCCGGGCUGCAUUGGAAACUGGACGGCUGGAGUGCCGGAGGGGUAAGCGGAAUUCCUGGUGUAGCGGUGAAAUGCGUAGAUAUCAGGAGGAACACCGGUGGCGAAGGCGGCUUACUGGACGGUAACUGACGUUGAGGCUCGAAAGCGUGGGGAGCAAACA
rnacentral:rRNA from 1 species